rnacentral:rRNA from 1 species
AAAGGAAUAGACGGGGGCCCGCACAAGCGGUGGAGUAUGUGGUUUAAUUCGAAGCAACGCGAAGAACCUUACCAGGUCUUGACAUCCCUUUGCUCGUCUUAGAGAUAAGACUUUCCCUUCGGGGACAAAGGUGACAGGUGGUGCAUGGUUGUCGUCAGCUCGUGUCGUGAGAUGUUGGGUUAAGUCCCGUAACGAGCGCAACCCUUGUCUUUAGUUGCCAGCAUUCAGUUGGGGACUCUAGAGAGACUGCCGGUGAUAAACCGGAGGAAGGUUAGGAUGACGUCAAAUCAUCAUGCCCCUUAUGACCUGGGCUACACACGUACUACAAUGGCGCAUACAGAGGGCAGCGAAGCCGCGAGGUGGAGCGAAUCUCAGAAAGUGCGUCUCAGUUCGGAUUGUAGUCUGCAACUCGACUACAUGAAGUCGGAAUCGCUAGUAAUCGCGGAUCAGAAAGCCGCGGUGAAUACGUUCUCGGGCCUUGUACACACCGCCCGU